UACAGAGGGUGCGAGCGUUUGUUCGGAAUUAUUGGGCGUAAAGCGCUUGUAGGCGGCUUGUUAAGUUCCGUGUGAAAUCCCCAGGCUUAACCUGGGAAGUGCGCGGAAAACUGGCGAGCUUGAGUGCCGGAGAGGGUCGCGGAAUUCCCGGUGUAGAGGUGAAAUUCGUCAGAUAUCGGGAGGAACACCAGUGGCGAAGGCGGCGACC
rnacentral:rRNA from 1 species